rnacentral:lncRNA from 1 species
AUGAAUGUCAAACACCAGUUUUCAUAUCCAGAUACAAAGAGUCUUGGAUGGCACAAAGUGUAUUUCUCCAGAGAACAGCGCCACCUUCAUCAGCAACACAACCAUUCAGGAGUGGUUCUCUGCCAUUUUCAGACACAAGGUCUUCCUGCAUUGGUACAUGAGGGCAUGGACGAGAUGGAGUUCACUGAGGCCAAGUGCAAUAUGAAUGACCUGGUGUUUGCCUACCAACAGUACCAUGAUGCCACGGCUGAGGGGAAGGGAGCGUUUAAGGAGUGGGAUGAGGAGGAGGUGACUUAG